rnacentral:lncRNA from 1 species
GCACGGAUAUCGGUGAGCACUUCACCCGGGAGAUUAUCCAGAGUAUCGUAUUUAUUUGUUUACCACUACGAGAAAGAGUGCAUCUGAGUAACCCGGUCUAUUACUACUAACCCUUUAGGCUACAAAGAAUGCUUCUCGAUGUGAGUGAUAAAUAGAGAAGACUACAACCGUAAUCUCCUUCUAACCUUUGUAAGGAUGAUCUACUGUUCUAUUGGG